rnacentral:rRNA from 1 species
GUCUUAUUGAAUAUAAUUUAAGUCUAAUCUGCCCAAUGAAUUAUUAAAUGGCUGCAGUAUUUUAACUGUACAAAGGUAGCAUAAUAAUUAGUUUCUUAAUUAGGAACUGGAAUGAAUGAUUGAACGAGAUAAUAACUGUCUUAAUUUAAAUUAAAGAAUUUUAUUUUUAAGUUAAAAAGCUUAAAUUUAAUUAAAAGACGAGAAGACCCUAUAGAAUUUUAUAAAAUUAUAAUUUAUAUUAGUUUGUAUAUUAAUAUGUAGAUUUAUGAUUUUAUUUAGUUGGGGUGAUUAAAAAAUUUAAAAAACUUUUUUUUAUAGUUAUUCAUUAAUUUAUGUUUAUUUGAUCCAAUUUUUUUGAUUAUAAGAUUAAAUUACCUUAGGGAUAACAGCGUAAUUUUUUUGGAGAGUUCUUAUCGAUAAAAGAGAUUGCGACCUCGAUGUUGGAUUAAAGUUAAUUUUUAAUGCAGGAGUUAAAAUAUUAGGUCUGUUCGACCUUUGAUACUUUACAUGAUCUGAGUUUAAAUCGGCGUGAGCCAGGUUGGAUUCUAUCUUUAACUUAUUUAAAUAUCUUAGUACGAAAGGACCUUAUAUUUAUUAAAAUAAUUAAUUUUUGAAUAAUA